rnacentral:misc_RNA from 1 species
GAUGAAGAACGCAGCGAAAUGCGAUAAGUAAUGUGAAUUGCAGAAUUCAGUGAAUCAUCGAAUCUUUGAACGCACAUUGCGCCCGCCAGUAUUCUGGCGGGCAUGCCUGUUCGAGCGUCAUUACAACCCUCAGGCCCCCGGGCCUGGCGUUGGGGAUCGGCGGAGCCCCCCGUGGGCACACGCCGUCCCCCAAAUACAGUGGCGGUCCCGCCGCAGCUUCCAUCGCGUAGUAGCUAACACCUCGCGACUGGAGAGCGGCGCGGCCACGCCGUAAAACACCCAACUCUUCUGAAGUUGACCUCGAAUCAGGUAGGAAUACCCGCUGAACUUAAGCAUAUUAAUAAGCGGAGGA